rnacentral:rRNA from 1 species
UACGUAGGGUCCGAGCGUUGUCCGGAAUUAUUGGGGCGUAAAGGGCUCGUAGGCGGUUUGUCACGUCGGGCGUGAAAACUCAGGGCUCAACCCUGAGCGUGCGUUCGAUACGGGCAGACUAGAGGUAUGCAGGGGAGAACGGAAUUCCUGGUGUAGCGGUGGAAUGCGCAGAUAUCAGGAGGAACACCGGUGGCGAAGGCGGUUCUCUGGGCCGAUACUGACGCUGAGGAGCGAAAGCGUGGGGAGCGAACAGG